rnacentral:rRNA from 1 species
UGGGGAAUCUUGCACAAUGGAGGAAACUCUGAUGCAGCGACGCCGCGUGAGCGAUGAAGCCCUUCGGGGUGUAAAGCUCUUUCGACGGGAACGAUAAUGACGGUACCCGAAGAAGAAGCUGCGGCUAACUACGUGCCAGCAGCCGCGGUAAUACGUAGGCAGCAAGCGUUGUUCGGAAUUACUGGGCGUAAAGAGUGUGUAGGCGGUGCUCCAAGUCUGGUGUGAAAUCUCCCGGCUUAACUGGGAGGGUGCGGUAGAAACUGGAAUGCUAGAGGAUGGGAGAGGUAAGCGGAAUUCCUGGUGUAGCGGUGAAAUGCGUAGAUAUCAGGAGGAACACCUGUGGUGUAGACAGCUUACUGGACCAUUUCUGACGCUGAGACACGAAAGCGUGGGUAGCAAACAGGAUUAGAUACCCCGCGUAGUCC